ensembl:lncRNA
GUAGGGAGCAGUAAGAAAAAGAAAGAUAAUAAAAAAGGGAAGCAGUUGAAAAAGUAGAACGGUAUGGGGGGGGGGGGAGGAAAAUUGUUGCAAAUUCACCAAGCUGUAUAUAACAGCCUUAGUUGGAUCAUAACUCUUAUUUCCUUACUCAAGGAUUUUAUGAGGAUCAACUAUGUAAAGCACUUAGCAUAGUGUCUGGCACACAGAUGUUGUUGUUGCUCGUCUUUCAUUUUUCAAAGACCAAUGACAUCACAAUGAGUGAUAUCAUGACUUAGGUGUGAUUUGGAUUUUAGUGAGGCAGAGUUGCACAAAGCCAUCAGCUUUACUCUUUCUUUCAGAAUCACUGAAGUUCAGCAGCAAGACAAAAGUCAGGAUGACUGGUGACAGCCCAGGAUUCAGUGAAUGACCUUGCCAAUUUCAACCUCCUACCAAAUUAUUAAUAUUCCACAAUACUUGCUUUUGUUACCUACAUGGCCAUUGGAACAAAUUGCUCUUAUCCAUUCAUUCUCACAUGCUUGGGGACAGAAGGCAAAGAGGGAGAAAGAGAAAAAAUACAAGAGAGAAAUACUAAUACCUUAUACUGGAAAGUUUGUAUUAACCAAGCUAGUUUUCUCUCUUAAUUCCAUUCAAAUCUAUAUUUCCAAUUCAUUUCUCUUUGGGACUAUCAAAAACAAGAUACCAAAUGAAAUAAAGAAAACCUAUUAAAAUGGACAGCAAGUGAGCUAUGGUCUGAUUUCAACUUUGACUUCUAAUAAGCUCAAAGUAUUUUCCUAGACUCAUACAUAUUUUAUUCUUUCCUCAAGAGUCUCCAUGUAUAAAGUCAAAGGGGUCAUGAACCAUUUCUCUAAAAAAUGGAAAUUCAAAAGCAUUUUUCCCUUAUAGAACUCAAUUCAUCUAAAUUUACCUUAAAAUCACAAAACUUAAUUAUUAAUGGUUUGAGAGAAAACAAAGAAAAAUACAAAAUAUAUAGAUGUAUGUUAAGAGGAUUUUAAGUGAGUGAAAAAAGGGUGAUGGUAGCAUUAUUUUCCUUUUAACUAUCAAUGAAGCUGUUGCUAUUCAAAACAAUCUAUCAAUGGCAAGAUAAAAAUAGCUUUUUUUUAAGAUCUUAUGCAGCCAUGGAAAGUCCUUGCAUGUUGCUUUUUAUAAACUUUAGCAUAGACAAAUGCAUGUAUGUUUUAUGCACAUAUGAAUGCAUUAUUUGCACAUAUUCCUCCAGAAAUACACAUAGGUGUGUACAUGUAUGUAUGUAUGUACAUGCACACAAUAUUGGCAUUAGCAGAGGCAGUGUGUGGUAAUGGAUAGAAUGAUAAAAUUACAGUUGCAAGACCUAGAUUCAUACCUUGCUUCUGAUAGCAAUCAUAUAAACAUCAUCAAGUCACCUAUGCUCUCUGAGCCUUGAACAAGCAAGCCUAAGACUUACCUACUAAGCUAUGGUUGAGUGAGAUAUCAUACUCUGGAAUCAACUGCUCAAAAGCAUUUAUUGUAUAUAAAGAUAAAAAACAAAUCUCUGCCCUUAAGGAAUUUAUAUUGCUUAGUAGGGAUAUUUG